UACGUAGGUGGCGAGCGUUGUCCGGAUUUACUGGGCGUAAAGGGAGCGUAGGCGGACUUUUAAGUGAGAUGUGAAAUACCCGGGCUCAACUUGGGUGCUGCAUUUCAAACUGGAAGUCUAGAGUGCAGGAGAGGAGAAUGGAAUUCCUAGUGUAGCGGUGAAAUGCGUAGAGAUUAGGAAGAACACCAGUGGCGAAGGCGAUUCUCUGGGCUGUAACUGACGCUGAGGCUCGAAAAGCGUGGGGAGCAAACAGGAUUAGAUACCCGGUA
rnacentral:rRNA from 1 species